rnacentral:sRNA from 1 species
GUCACCUUCACUGCCGGGCCAAGGACCCCGUGGGAACUCACAGCCCUCGCCACACUCGUUCCUCGCGCAUCCAUGGAGGGGUGCCUAGAGAGAAGACCUGCGUGGCAAAAACCUAAACGAAGAGAUGAGGGGCAUGGAGAGGAGUAGGACAAGAGAAUAAAGAUAACAGUGGGGGGAGACGUUAGUUUCCUUUAUACCUUUUGUUACUGGCGGUAGCAGGGGAGUUAGAAACGGUUUUAAAACAAAUUUCAGACAGGCAUUUUCCAAAGGCAAGCCUGGAGCGCACGGAUCUGUACAACCGUUGAAGGCCCUGUUUCCGGUCCCUUGCGCCUGCGCUCUUGCCGCCAAGAAGGCGGGAGGCUGGAGUAGAGGGAAGCCUGCAACCGGAAGUGAAGGCAGAUUUCCCUCCUUCGUCGCUGUUGCUGCCGCCAUACGCGCGCUCCCUGUUUAGUUAUGGCAGAGAACGAUGUGGACAAUGAGCUCUUGGACUAUGAAGAUGAUGAGGUGGAGACAGCAGCUGGGGGAGAUGGGGCUGAGGCCCCUGCCAAGAAGGAUGUCAAGGGCUCCUAUGUCUCCAUCCACAGCUCUGGCUUUCGUGACUUCCUGCUCAAGCCAGAGUUGCUCCGGGCCAUUGUCGACUGUGGCUUUGAGCAUCCGUCAGAAGGUUGCUGUUUUUUUUGGUGGUCUGUCUAUCAAGAAGGAUGAAGAGGUGCUGAAGAAGAACUGCCCGCAUAUCGUCGUGGGGACUCCAGGCCGUAUCCUAGCCCUGGCUCGAAAUAAGAGCCUCAACCUCAAACACAUUAAACACUUUAUUUUGGAUGAAUGUGAUAAGAUGCUUGAACAGCUCGACAUGCGUCGGGAUGUCCAGGAAAUUUUUCGCAUGACCCCCCACGAGAAGCAGGUCAUGAUGUUCAGUGCUACCUUGAGCAAAGAGAUCCGUCCAGUCUGCCGCAAGUUCAUGCAAGAUCCAAUGGAGAUCUUCGUGGAUGAUGAGACGAAGUUGACGCUGCAUGGGUUGCAGCAGUACUACGUGAAACUGAAGGACAACGAGAAGAACCGGAAACUCUUUGACCUUCUGGAUGUCCUUGAGUUCAACCAGGUGGUGAUCUUUGUGAAGUCUGUGCAGCGGUGCAUUGCCUUGGCCCAGCUACUAGUGGAGCAGAACUUCCCAGCCAUUGCUAUCCACCGUGGGAUGCCCCAGGAGGAGAGGUGAGCUGAAGAUGGGAAAGAU